AAAAUAUGCAACAAAUCUAGCAACAGCUGUUCUGAUAUCUGUAUAACAGACAGAAUACAGAGAAGGUCACUGGAUGAAGCUGCAGAAGAGGGAGUUAAAGAGUACCACAUAUUUCAAGGACCCUUUGUUACUUUUGAUUCGUCACGAUUGACAGUUGUGUCAGGUGCCGGCAGAUUAGUUCUAAGCUUGCCAUUCCUAUUUCUACUUAUCCUAACAUCAUAGUCAAUAGUAAUCCAAUGGAUUUAUCUAAUGCCUGCUGGGGUUGAAGCACUGAAUUACAAAAAGUUAUUCCCGACGAGUUGGAGCUAUAGCUGAAGGUAACUAUGGUAACUAGUAGUGUAACUGAAGGGCGAAGUAAUUUUAAUCUAUGCGGAGCGAACGAACGAUUUCAGACACUUGUUGGUAUGGGAGAAAUAUGCGAACAAUUUUAACUGUUUUUAUGUUUUAUGUUUAUCUGCAACAGUUUCAUAAAAUCCUACACAAAGAACAUUGGUUCACGAUAAAAAAGCUAUACGAAGUCGACUGAAAAGUGUUCAACAAUCUAACAAUUAUUUGUCAUUAUACAGGCCUCUACAAUUUUUAUUCUGGCGACCUCUAAAAACUAUUUCUGAAAGUUUUCCCGAUCUCAUUAUCUCAAGUGACCUUUAUGAUUGACAAUAGGUUAGAUAACCAUGAAUUAGGAGGGUGACUUAGCUUUUCACUUCAAUGACUGAACAGAACUUUCUAAAUAAUAACUUCCGAGCAUGCGUUACAAUACUUUAUGUAUCAAAAUUGCGAAUUUUCGCCCUUCC